rnacentral:lncRNA from 1 species
AAGCCAAACAUCUUUGACAUUUAACAAUUCUUUACUUCACUUAGAUUUGUCACCAUGUAGCUUUGUUUGAAUUGGCCAUUUUUAAAACCUUCUAUUGUUGUUUCCAAUGGUAAACUUUUAUAACAAAACAUCUGGGCUUUAUAAGUAUGUAAAGAAUAAUGAUAUGGAGUGGCCAUAUUUGCAUGUGUCUGUCCCCGGAAGGGUGGACUGUAAUUUUAUUGGAUGUCUGCAGCUAUUACCUUGAAGGAUGAAUUUUCAUUUUUCAUCUAUUCUUCCCCAUCUAGAUUGUAUCAGGAUUAACUGUAAUUCCAGCAAAGGUCCCGAGACUCUUUUUGCUGGCUAUAACCUCAAUGAUAACGAGUGGCACACAGUGCGUGUAGUUCGGCGUGGAAAAAGUUUAAAGUUAACAGUGGAUGACCAACAGGCCAUGACAGGUCAAAUGGCAGGUGAUCAUACUAGGCUGGAGUUCCAUAACAUAGAGACUGGCAUCAUCACAGAACGACGGUAUCUUUCUUCUGUCCCCUCCAACUUCAUUGGACACCUGCAGAGCUUGACAUUUAAUGGAAUGGCAUAC